GGGCGGGGCUGAGCCGCCCUCGCUGGUGACGCGAGCUGUAGUUGGGGAAAUGUGCGCUGGUUCCCCCUGCGGUCGGGAGAUCCCGAGCCUGAGGCGGGCGUGGCAGCCCCGACAGUCCUGACAUUGCCCAGCCAGAGCACCACGCGUCAGUCAGCGGCUGCUCCUACGCCAAGGGCGCUCAGAUUCCCCCAGGAAACCCCCGAGGGGUUAGCAAGCACCUAGUAGGUUUCGGUCCCAAGAUACUGAAGGAAGAUUUUACUUUACUCAGUUGAGAGAAAGCACACAAGAGAGCAAGCAUGAGCAGGGGGAAGGACAGAGGGAGAAAAGCAGAUUCCCCGCUGAGCAGGAAGCCCAACAUGAGGCUCGAUCCCAGGACCCUGAGAUCAUGACCUGGCUGAAGGUCAAUGCUUAACCAACUGAGCCACCCAGGCACCCCUUCCUUAUCUUUUUCUACUGUAUGCUGGAUAAUUUCUUUUUUUUUUUUUUAAAGAUUUUAUUUUUUUA